rnacentral:rRNA from 1 species
CGCCUUGCCAGCCCGCUCAGAAACUUAAAGGAAUUGACGGGGGCCCGCACAAGCGGUGGAGCAUGUGGUUUAAUUCGAUGAUACGCGAGGAACCUUACCUGGGCUCGAACGUAAGAUGACUGUAGGUGAAAGCUUACAUCUCUUCGGAGCAUUUUACGAGGUGCUGCAUGGUUGUCGUCAGCUCGUGCCGUGAGGUGUCGGGUUAAGUCCCAUAACGAGCGCAACCCCUACCUUUAGUUGCCAUCAGGUAAUGCUGGGGACUCUAAAGGAACUGCCUACGCAAGUAGUGAGGAAGGCGGGGAUGACGUCAAAUCAGCACGGCCCUUACGUCCAGGGCUACACACGUGCUACAAUGGCCGAUACAGAGGGCAGCUACCUGGUGACAGGAUGCAAAUCUCCAAAGUCGGUCUCAGUUCGGAUCGGAGUCUGCAACCCGACUCCGUGAAGUUGGAUUCGCUAGUAAUCGCGCAUCAGCCAUGGCGCGGUGAAUACGUUCCCGGGCCUU